rnacentral:rRNA from 1 species
AGUGAACGCUGGCGGUAGGCCUAACACAUGCAAGUCGAACGGCAGCACAGGAGAGCUUGCUCUCUAGGUGGCGAGUGGCGGACGGGUGAGGAAUACAUCGGAAUCUGCCCAGUCGUGGGGGUUAACGUAGGGAAACUUACGCUAAUACCGCAUACGACCUUCGGGUGAAAGAGGGGGAUCGCAAGACCUCUCGCGAUUGGAUGAGCCGAUGUCGGAUUAGCUAGUUAGCGGGGUAAUGGCCCACCAAGGCGACGAUCCGUAGCUGGUCUGAGAGGAUGAUCAGCCACACUGGAACUGAGACACGGUCCAGACUCCUACGGGAGGCAGCAGUGGGGAAUAUUGGACAAUGGGCGCAAGCCUGAUCCAGCCAUACCGCGUGGGUGAAGAAGGCCUUCGGGUUGUAAAGCCCUUUUGUUGGGAAAGAAAUCUUUCAGGCUAAUACCCUGGGAGGAUGACGGUACCCAAAGAAUAAGCACCGGCUAACUUCGUG